AAAUCUGUAGUUUAAUAAAAACAUAUUGCUUACACCAAUAAGAUGGGGUUUACUCCCAGAUUUA
rnacentral:tRNA from 1 species